rnacentral:rRNA from 1 species
GAUGAACGCUAGCGGCAGGCUUAAUACAUGCAAGUCGAGGGGUAGCAAGAUUGUAGCAAUACAAUUGUUGACGACCGGCAAACGGGUGCGGAACACGUACACAACCUUCCUACAAGUGGGGAAUAGCCCAGAGAAAUUUGGAUUAAUACCCCGUAACAUAGCGAUGUGGCAUCACAUUGCUAUUAUAGCUUCGGCGCUUGUUGAUGGGUGUGCGGCUGAUUAGAUAGUUGGCGGGGUAACGGCCCAUCAAGUCUACGAUCAGUAGCUGAUGUGAGAGCAUGAUCAGCCACACGGGCACUGAGACACGGGCCCGACUCCUACGGGAGGCAGCAGUAAGGAAUAUUGGACAAUGGACGAAAGUCUGAUCCAGCCAUGCCGCGUGAAGGAUUAAGGUCCUCUGGAUUGUAAACUUCUUUUAUAAGGGACGAAAAAAGGUCUUUCUAGAUCGUCUGACGGUACCUUAUGAAUAAGCACCGGCUAACUCCGUGCCAGCAGCCGCGGUAAAAC